rnacentral:rRNA from 1 species
CAGCAGCCGCCGCGGUAAUACAGAGGGUGCGAGCGUUAAUCGGAUUUACUGGGCGUAAAGCGUGCGUAGGCGGCUUCUUAAGUCGGAUGUGAAAUCCCUGAGCUUAACUUAGGAAUUGCAUUCGAUACUGGGAAGCUAGAGUAUGGGAGAGGAUGGUAGAAUUCCAGGUGUAGCGGUGAAAUGCGUAGAGAUCUGGAGGAAUACCGAUGGCGAAGGCAGCCAUCUGGCCUAAUACUGACGCUGAGGUACGAAAGCAUGGGGAGCAAACAGGAUUAGAUACCCCAGUAGUCCCUGUCUCUUAUAU